AGAGCUUGGUGCGCAGCCGCUGGUUUCUUCAUGAGACUGGAGGAAAGUCGGGACUUCGCAGGAUCAGGUUGGCUGCUAACAGCAGCUCCGGGUGACCGGGGGAAAGUGCCACAGAAAAGAAAAUAGCCUAAGUGGAGCCUCGUGAGGGCUGCCAGACUUCGCGGCUUUGCCGCUUCGUCGCGGUACCUUUAGCUGCUCCGCCGGCAAAGGUGAAACGGUGGGGUAAGAGCCCACCAGCAGAGGGGUAACUCUCUGGCUUGGUAAACCCCAAUCGAUGCAAGGCAGAAUAUAGGGACAUGAUUCUCGUGAAAAGAGAAUCGAAGGUUGAUCCGCCAAAGUUCCUGGGUCUAGCCGCAUGAGCUUGUUGGUGACAACAGGCCAAGAUGAAUGGCUGCGGUUUUAUGGGUCGAGAGACGCAUAAAGCACAGAAUCCCGCUUAAAUCCAAGCUCUUUCC
rnacentral:RNase_P_RNA from 1 species